AGUCUCGGUCCAUUUACAACUUAUAUUGAACGUGUUUCUCCUUCUAUGUCUAGAAACGAUAACACUGCUUUAGAUCAACAAUCUAUUAGUGUUCUGCGCAUUGGGCGUUGUUUGCUUAAGAUCUGCCCAUCUUCGAUGGAGACGGUUUUUGAUUUUGUUAAGAAGGGCAAUGAUAAAUUCAGCAUCAAUUUUCCUACGUAUCAUCAAGCUAAUGAGUUUAUCUCUUUAGUUUACAAGAACCGUUUCUCUGUAAGAUCGGAUGAAUGUUGGGUUGCUUAUGUGCCUUCCUUCAAAAUUUUUAAGAAGGUCAUUCUUAGAGGGUUGGAUGAUUCUGAUCUGGAACCUGACUUUAUAGCUAAGCAUCUACGUCCAGCUCCUGAUCAUUUUGAAGGUCAGAAGGUGCACCCGCUGUCAGCGCUUUGGGCAUAUUAAAAGGCUUUGUAAAACGUCUGAGGACAAAUGUAUUUGUGAGUUUUGCAGCUUACGAGGUCAUUCACAGGAGCAUUGUUCUGAGCCAAUCCCGGGGAACAAGGGCGUAUCUUGAUCGUCAUGGGCCUCUGGACUCUUCAAUCUCUGAUAAACCGCCCGCUUCUACCUUAGCGGACUUUGUUCCUCAUCAGUUCCUUUAUUCGGAGGUGGUCCGUAAUGGGUGUGAUGCUCGAGUGGAGGCGAUGUGUGCCCCUGUCAGUUGCAACGUUGAGCGUUUGCCGCUUAGUCGGUCUAUGCGCCAACGGACUGCGACCCCGCAGUCAGCGCAGUCUGCCCGCUGAGUUAACCUCUCAAGCCAAACAUUUUAUAUCUGAUAAUUCUCGUUCCUCUAAUGCUAAACCAUCUAAAAUUCUUUUGUCUGAUUCGUUACAGAAAAGACUACUCAUGACUCCUAAAGGAACUACUGUCGCUGGGACUGGCGUUCCAUCUAAAAUCGCAUCUUUCUUCUCUGGAGGAUUCUUGACUCGGCAACAAAGAUCGUCCCCUACUGAGAGGGAGUAUAUUAGGGAGUAGGCGUCCGUUGCAUGCAGUGCACUCUGCACGCCUUAUCAUGGAACUAUCUCUCCUGGGAGCGCCACUCAAUGAUAUUGACGACAUUAUUUUCUCUGACGACACCGCGACAUUAAGAACUAUUCAUAAUUCUCUAAUUAAGGCAAAGUUAUUUUUAUAAAAUUAAAAAAGAUAUAUAUUUCGUGUAACUCCUGGUUAUCUUGUCAACUAAAAACUGACUAAUGGAAUAUAUAUGAUUCCCGGUCAUUUCAACAAGAAGAAGAAGAAGAGGAGGAAUCGAGGU